rnacentral:rRNA from 1 species
AGACUUUGAUCCUGGCUCAGAUUGAACGCUGGCGGCAUGCCUUACACAUGCAAGUCGAACGGCAGCGCGGGGGCAACCCUGGCGGCGAGUGGCGAACGGGUGAGUAAUGUAUCGGAACGUGCCCUGGAGUGGGGGAUAACUAGUCGAAAGACUAGCUAAUACCGCAUACGAUCUACGGAUGAAAGUGGGGGACCGCAAGGCCUCACGCUCCAGGAGCGGCCGAUAUCUGAUUAGCUAGUUGGUGGGGUAAAAGCUCACCAAGGCGACGAUCAGUAGCUGGUCUGAGAGGACGACCAGCCACACUGGGACUGAGACACGGCCCAGACUCCUACGGGAGGCAGCAGUGGGGAAUUUUGGACAAUGGGGGAAACCCUGAUCCAGCAAUGCCGCGUGUGUGAAGAAGGCCUUCGGGUUGUAAAGCACUUUUGUCAGGAACGAAACGGUGAGGGCUAAUAUCCUUUGCUAAUGACGGUACCUGAAGAAUAAGCACCGGCUAACUACGUGCCAGCAGCCGCGGUAAUACGUAGGGUGCAAGCGUUAAUCGGAAUUACUGGGCGUAAAGCGUGCGCAGGCGGUUGUGCAAGACAGAUGUGAAAUCCCCGGGCUCAACCUGGGAAUUGC